CCCUCGCGACGUGCGUGUGUUUCUUCGCGUCAGGCAUGUGCAAAGUUGGACGAACAAGGCAACGUUAGUGUGAACGAGCUCUAGUGUAAAGUGAAGCGGUGAAGUCGGCCCUGUGUAUCAAGAACGAUGUCUUCAUCUUGUGUCCGUUAACGCUCGCCUGUAGCACCGUGUGAGAGUGAAAGAAGAAGUAAAAGGAAGAAUUCACAAUGACACCAAAAGGACUGCGGGUGGCCGAAGAUCAGGACCGGAAUAUGGCCUUGUGACGCUACCAGAUUUAAACGCGGAUUUAUUAAUAGACCGAAGCAAGAACCUCAUGUAGGGCGUGACACCGCGUGACGUUCAUGGAACGGCAGUCUGCCUGCCUGAAAGGUCGGCGAAGUUCAGGGGAAAGCUGAGGUGGCAUGCAGUCCAGACUACACUAUACGAAUGGAACGUGGCUAAAGCAACUCACCAGCAUUGACGAAUUGCAACGAAGGACACAGCUGAAGACAGUAGAGCAAUCUGGUGAUGCACGACUCUUGCCCCUACCUGACACGGACGGAAACGGUGAAUGAGUGAUUUCAGACCUCCAGUGACCUUGCUGCAACGAGAUGUUUUCAAGGGACAAACUUAUCAAGCCAAUUAAGAAGCAAAACAAAUGAAGGGUACAAGUUAGGCUACAAGAAGAAAUAUUGGGAAAACCUUUCAAGUGCACCAAAACACACGAAGGACGCAUGUGGACCACGUGACGAGGCGGGAGUAAGGCUAUGCCUCCCUCUGGCAAAAAAAGAGAGAAAAUCGUUAUCUCUUAGUUCUGAUGAAUUGUCAGGCGAAGAGGGUCAUUAAGAGGAAAAUCCGGCUCACUGCACCAACCUGCUGUUCGCACCCUGACAUUCCCCAAUUUCAGCUGUUUUAGUCCGUCGUCUCAUCCUGUUGUGAGUGUCACCUGACUCACAUCACCAGGGGGCAUGCAGGCGUCGUCUGAGGCUCCUCCCACAAAGAAGGCGAUGCAGUGAUCGGUCUGUCAAAAUGAUGAAUUUUACCCAAUGGGAGACGCUCGUGUUUUUAUCCGCACGACGCUUGUAGGAUUCGUAAAAUUUCGACCACAGUCUUGGAUGAUUUAGUGAACUUAUGAAUGAACUGUCUGUAGUUGGUGACAGAUUGGUUCGAUGUGGAUGUAUAUGUCAAGGUUUUCGGUGCCGUGUGCCAGAAGAUGACCGUACAAUCAGGGGACGGAGCGUUCUUUCAGAUGCUAAGCAUGUGAAGCAGACGGCCACAGUUAUGCAGAGAUAGAGUGAUAAUCACACGAGCAUGUUGAAGAUGAGUCACUGC